GAUAGCAAGGAAACAAAUUUAUGGGCAUGCACCAUGUUUUACAACCUCUUCUGGAUGAGAUCAGAUAUGGAUCAAAGGAAAGGAGUGAAGACUGCCUGCCUCUAUCACAUAAAAUUUUCUUGUGGAUGGGAAGCAUCUUUGCAUAGGGAGUCAGAGCAUUUGCAAAGAUUGCUGGUGAAAUUGAGGACUCAAUUCUACUCAGAUGUCAGAGCACUGAAGAUACUGGAAUCGGCUGGAAUAAACUUUCUAAGCAUUUGAAGCACUAGAAAGCAAGCAUUCUUUACCCGUGCAGGACACACAGAGGAUAUAUUUAUUUUUUUUUAAUUCUGUGUGUUUUGUGAGGCUUUACAGCAAGGUAUUUAUCCAUCUUAACCAUACAU